UCUGUUGAAUCUCUUAGACAGUAUAACAUACAAUUUUUUGAAAAUUAAAUAACAAGAACAGUAAUAAAAUUAAACUUGUUCACAAAUAAUAACAAUAGCAAUAGAUGUGUUCACUAAUAACAAAAAUAAAAAGAUUAAAUGUGUUUCUAUGAAACAUUUCGCUCGGAGUAUGUAGUCUUUUUGUGUCCAACACUUUUGUAUAUGUAACAUUUAUUUUUCUUGGUUGAAAAUGAU
rnacentral:lncRNA from 1 species